UGGUGGAAUUUCCUGUGUAGCGGUGAAAUGCGUAGAUAUAGGAAGGAACACCAGUGGCGAAGGCGACCACCUGGACUGAUACUGACACUGAGGUGCGAAAGCGUGGGGAGCAAACAGGAUUAGAUACACUGGUAGUCCACGCCGUAAACGAUGUCGACUAGCCGUUGGGAUCCUUGAGAUCUUAGUGGCGCAGCUAACGCGAUAAGUCGACCGCCUGGGGAGUACGGCCGCAAGGUUAAAACUCAAAUGAAUUGA
rnacentral:rRNA from 1 species